AGUGUCCUACGGGGCGCAGCAGUGGGGGAUAUUGCACAAUGGGGGAAACCCUGAUGCAGCGACGCCGCGUGGGCGAAGAAGUAUUUCGGUAUGUAAAGCCCUAUCAGCAGGGAGGAAGAAAUGACGGUACCCGAGUAAGAAGCACCGGCUAAAUACGUGCCAGCAGCCGCGGUAAUACGUAUGGUGCAAGCGUUAUCCGGAUUUACUGGGUGUAAAGGGAGCGCAGGCGGCACGGCAAGCCUGAUGUGAAAGCCCGCGGCCCAACCGCGGGACUGCCUUGGGAACUACCGGGCUG
rnacentral:rRNA from 1 species